rnacentral:rRNA from 1 species
GACAGAGGGUGCAAACGUUGUUCGGAAUUACUGGGCGUAAAGCGCGUGUAGGCGGCUAUGCAAGUCAGAUGUGAAAUCCCGGGGCUCAACCCCGGAACUGCAUUUGAAACUGCCUUGCUCGAGUACUGGAGAGGAGACUGGAAUUUACGGUGUAGCAGUGAAAUGCGUAGAUAUCGUAAGGAAGACCAGUGGCGAAGGCGAGUCUCUGGACAGUUACUGACACUGAGGCACGAAGGCCAGGGGAGCAAACGGG